GUUGUGACAAGUCUGGAACAAGUUGUUAUCACCUUGUUACAAGGUUGAUGACGGUAACAGACUUGCUACAAGUUGUUCCAACAAGACUAAUACAGGCUGUUCGUAACAAGUUGCUACGAGCUUGUUGUCAUCAACUUGUUAACAACUUGUUACGUGCAGACGAUAUCAGACUUGUUGGAACAACUUGUUGCGAGUCUGUUGGCCUCGUCAACCUUGUUACAAGAUGAUAACAACUUGUUCCAGACUUGUCAACAACUGGGAACAAGCAGUGCGAACACGUCUUGUUGAUAAGCUGUGAUAUUGUUACGGCUGUAGUACUAACAAUUUGGUUGCAGG